UGGCUACCUACAUUCUCUAUCAAAGAAGGU
rnacentral:piRNA from 1 species